rnacentral:misc_RNA from 1 species
UCCGGUUUGACACCGGCAGUCCCGUUAGAGUGCCCGGCACCCGAAGGCCCGAUGGCAACUAACGGCAGGGGUUUCGCUCGUUAAGGGACUUAACCCGACACUUCACAGCACGAGCUGACGACAGCCAUGCAGCACCUGUGCACGUUCCACCCGUGAGGGCGUCACUCCGCUUUCACAGAGCUAAUCCGUGCAUGUCAAACCCAGGAUAAGGUUCUUCGCGUUGCUUCGAAUUAAGCCACAUGCUCCACCGCUUGUGUGAGCCCCCGUCAAUUCCUUUGAGUUUUAGCCUUGCGACCGUACUCCCCAGGCGGCGCACUUAUCAGUUUUCCUUCGGCCCCGAUGGUGUCAGAACCUCCGAGACCUAGUGCGCAUCGUUUACAGCGUGGACUAC